rnacentral:rRNA from 1 species
AUUGAACGCUGGCGGCAGACUUAACACAUGCAAGUCGAACGAGUGGCGGACGGGUGAGUAAUGUAUGGGGAUCUGCCCGAUAGAGGGGGAUAACUACGGGAAACUGUAGCUAAUACCGCGUACCAUAGGAUGAGCCCAAGUGGGAUUAGGUAGUUGGUGAGGUAAAGGCUCACCAACCGACGAUCUCUCGCUGGUCUGAGAGGAUGACCAGACACACUGGGAGUGAGACAAGGCCCAGACUCCUACGGGAGGCAGGAGUGGUGAAUAUUGCGCGAUGGGGGCAACCCUGACGAAGCCAUGCAGCAUGAAUGAAGAAGGCCUUCGGGUUGUAAAGUUCUUUCGGUAGCGAGGCGUUAGCUACAGAUGAAGCACAGGCUAACACCGUGCCAGCAGCCGCGGUAAUUC